GUGCUAGCUCAGCUGAUUCGCGCGCGCGCCCGCGAGAACGUGAGGUCCUGGGUUCGAUUCCCAGGAGGAGCA